rfam:Danio rerio chromosome 4, GRCz11 reference primary assembly.
GUCAGGAUGGCCGAGUGGUCUAAGGCGCUGCGUUCAGGUCGUAGUCUCCCCUGGAGUCGUGGGUUCAAAUCCUAUUUCAGACA